GAGCUUCUGUGCCUGCGAUAUAUGCAGAAUAUUUCCUCAGUAUGCAUUCAGUGUCAUGCUGUGUAGACUCCUGAUUCUAGCACAAUAGGCCACUCCGUUUUCUUGAUACACAAAUGGUACCUGUGAAACAAAGGAGUAUGCCUCCAAGGGAAACCCAUCCUUUUUUCUUGUUCCUUCUAAAAUAGUCGAUGAUGUAUUUCAUAUUGAAUGCCCUGAGAGCACCGGUAUCAUACUUUAUCAGGUUGUAUAACCCAACGCCUGCAAUGAGGAGCAGCCAGAGGAGGAUGAUCGGCGCAAACAAGUAACCGACUCUGUCUGUCCCGAACCUCUGGAUUGCGAACAGCACCACCAAAAUUCCCACGGCCGGGCCACAUAUUAAUUGCUAACGGCAACAGUUCACUCUAUGUCUUCAGUUCCAAAGAUGGCCGGCAGGAGUCAGAAUAGCGUCGCUGAUAACCAUGGCGGUGGCGAGCAUGGUGAUGAGGAAGAGCGAGAUCUUUACAGUCUUGUUCGUCUCGAGCAGCUCCUUCAUCCACUCCGCUCUCUGCAGCGUCGCCGGCGGUUUGUCGCGGUUGUACUUGGAGACGAGCUCGUCUUCAACCUGCUGGUUCGGGAUCAGGCUCACCCUGGCGUGGCGCGAGAUCAGAGUGUAGAGCGCGAAAGUUCCACCUGGAGCAGAAGAAGGAAUCAUCAGUUUUGCUUGGGGUUCAAUUUGUUUGUUUGUUUGUUUGUUUGUUUGUUUUACGACUUUUCUUACGGCAGCUACGUACUGACUGUUGCGGUCUUCUGCGAUCACAUCUUACAGCCAAAGUCUUUUGGAUUUGGAUGGGUAUGGACUAAGCAACGGUGAAUGGAGGGAAAAGACUGAUGAAAGAGCAUGACAUUUCUGUAACCUAGCUAGCUGUUACAUGGUUAUUGGAGCCUCACAUACUAAGUUGGUCAGUAAUUCCAAACUCACAAUUCACUCAGAUAUGUAAUUACACCCAUCUCAGUCUCAGAUA